ACAGCGUUGCCAAGACGACGGCUUCCGGGUGGGAGGGAUGUGUGACUUACUGCGGGAAGGCGAGGCUCCGCGGGAAAAGAGGCCUUGUUAGAGGCGCGAGGUAGUUUGGGGCUGAAGCCUUCUGCUCAAGAGUAACCUUAGGCCUGUGUUGUGGUCACGCCAGCGGCCUCCGUUUCCUUUAGCCUUCUCCCUCACCAAACGACUUUCCUGUCCAGUUAUAAAAUGCAAGUUGUUUCCCCAAGGGAGUGCUCUUUGGAUCAACACCUGUAGGAAAGGAGCUGCCCUGCACUCUCAGCAAAGACCUCAGCCAACCCCAAGCUGAGACAGAGCAAUAGAGACCAGAUGUACCUUUCUCAGCUGAAACAACUAAAAAGACAAGACAAAAUAUAUGAAAGAAUGGUUAUUGAGACAGUGGACAUCACACAGUGAAUGACAGUGAUCCCUGAGAGAGAGAAGCAAACAAGCUUACAAUCUGAAGGUGUCCGUUCCUACACUGGUCAGACCACUGUCCUUGGGGCAGCUGGGGUCUUUGGGACCCUCCACCGGGCUCGCCGGUCCGUCGGACUUUUGGCUGAGAUCCGUGUCAGACUCCUCCGAAUAGUCGUCUGUUGGCAUCGAGGGCUGAACCCCUGAGGUGCUGCAUGAACUUGAGAGCGCGCUCUCGCACGCCAGGCAGUGGUACGAGCCGCCGCCGCCACCGCCGCCGCCGCCGCUGCCGCCACCGCCGCCGCCGCCCGUGGGGA